GAGGAAGUCAAGUCGUUCGGGCAAUAGACGUUCGACGUGACGUAGCUGCUGGAGAGUGGGAUGAUGUUUCUGGCUUUCUAUAUUACGGUGGCUUCGCUCUUCGCUUCAUCCACAUCGACACAGAACGUGUGCGAGAACGCGAUACAUUACGAAAUAAGAAAAACCAUACGUAGCAAGGGAGGCAAGCCUCCUCCAGCGGUCAAAAAUCCAACGGGCCGUGCACUCGAUUUGGCGCCGACAAACGCCGUUUUCAUCACGCGAAAUAAGAUUAACCUGAUUUUGUCGAUUUAUCGAUUUAAUUGUGCGGCCGGAUUUCCCUCUGUGUCCCUCUAUUUCCCCCUACCAAACACUCUAUAGUGUUUGGUACUUAAUUUAAGUAGCAAAUUCUCACUGAAACACUUAAGGCUCCGCUACCUCCUAAUCCUUUCUGGUAGCUGCUGCGGGGCAGCAGUGAGGGGCGAGGAAGAAAUGAAUUUAUGGCGGCCGGUAUAGCAGAGACAUUCUUAAAACGGCAAACAUUAUAUUCCAGGGCUGGUUUAGUAUGAAGGCCUUAAAAGCUUGGGUGAAUUGCGAAACACUAAAAAGCUUCUGCUCCACGAAAUUUAGAUGGCGCUAAGAAUGCAAAACUACUUAAACUACCGCUUUUACCGAGGGUGUACGGACUGUAAAGCAUCAAAUUAUAUCAUAUAAAAUGCGGCCAUUUUUUAUAGUUCCUUAGCCUGCGCAUGCUUUUUUUUACUUCUGCCGAAAAACUAACUUUCAUUAAUCAAAUUUUCCAAAACAUCUUAACAAAAUUGAUCGAUUCUCAUAUUUAGUAUAAAAUGUUUCCAGUUGUUUAGUUCAGAGCUUUGUGUGUCAGCUGUCAUUAGUUUUCAUUUGGAUGUGCCAACGCUGACCUGGGAUACAGGAAAUUUCUAAAAAAGCAGUUAAUUAUAUUGUUGUAAAAGAACUGAGAUAUAAAUAGUGAAAACUUUGAUUUGAAGAUAGGACAUUGGACAUUGCAUGUGCAUAAAUAGUUAUUGCAAUAAACCUUUUUUGUAAAAAUGAUAAGUACAAAUAUAAACAAUAGUAAUAAACAAUUCUAUGCAUGUCAAAAUUGUUUAACUACACAUUCAUUCAAGCCGAAUUCAAAGAGGGGUCUUAAACCAGAUACCAUACCUUCAGAUAACCUCCCAGGCUUAAUACAAGGAUUCUAAAGAACUGACCACUUUUAAUCACAUAGAGUAGCAGCUGACAACAGAAUAUGCUGAUGGCUUGAAAGUGAAAAACUGCACUCAGAUCUUUAGGAAUACCAUAGAAUCCUAGAUGGAUAAUAUGGCAAAAUGGGGUAAGUUUUUUUUUUGAAUGAUUUUAAAAAUUAAUACUUCAAAUUGUACUUUCUGUUUCUAUAUAUUCCAAGUAAAUUAGCCAUUCAAGCUCAAUAGGAAGGAGCAGAAUUCAUCUUGUUCCUAUAUAGACUUUUUGACGGCCUCAAUAUCAAAACAUACUCAAAAUGUAACGCCAAACUAGAGAGAAAACAAAUAAGAGAACAGCAAUUUCAACAGUUUCAAUGCAUGAGCAAUAUUUGAUCCUAUACAAAUCUUGGAGUCUAAAAUUUUCAAAGGCAAAUAGAAAAAUGAUAACUUAUGUAAACUUUACUUUUAACCUAUUUACUUAUUGCCUCUUUUAUUACUAAUUUGUUGAUAAUUAUUCAAUUUAUAAUAUAAUCGAAGAAACACGACUCUGUGCAUUUGACCUUUAUACAUUUACCAUAAUCUUCUGUAACACUUUAUAAAUUCUACACUUCAACACUUCAUACACUUUGCUCUGUUCUU